CAUAAGGUGUUGAGUUAUUAUACCCCACGCAACGAAGUUGCGGAGGGUAUAAUGUUUUUGACCCGUCCGUCCGUCCGUCCGUCAGUCCGUCCGUCCGUCAGUCCGUCCGUCCGUCCGUCCGUCCGUCAGUCCGUCAGUCCUGUUUCUUGUCAUCGCAACUCCUCUUAAACCACACAACAGAAUUUCACGAAACCUUUUCAGAUAAUAAGGACAUACUAUGUAGUUGUGCAUAUCGACGGGAAAUUGCGAUUCAAUUUUUUUUCUAGGAGUUACGCCCCUUUGAACUUAUUUACUUUAAUGUACUACUGCAACAGUUUGUCAUCGCAACUCCUCUCAAACCACAAAACAGAAUUUCACGAAACCUUUUCAGAUAAUAAGGACAUACUAUGUAGUUGUGCAUAUCGACGGGAAAUUGCGAUUCAAUUUUUUUUCUAGGAGUUACGCCCCUUUGAACUUAUUUACUUUAAUGUACUACUGCAACAGUUUGUCAUCGCAACUCCUCUCAAACCACACAACAGAAUUUCACGAAACCUUUUCAGAUAAUAAGGACAUACUAUGUAGUUGUGCAUAUCGACGGGAAAUUGCGAUUUAAUUUUUUUUCUAGGAGUUACGCCCCUUUGAACUUAUUUACUUUAAUGUACUACUGCAACAGUUUGUCAUCGCAACUCCUCUCAAACCACACAACAGAAUUUCACGAAACCUUUCAAGAUAAUAAGGACAUACUAUGUAGUUGUGCAUAUCGACGGGAAAUUGCGAUUCAAUUUUUUUUCUAGGAGUUACGCCCCUUUGAACUUAUUUACUUUAAUGUACUACUGCAACAGUUUGUCAUCGCAACUCCUCUCAAACCACAAAACAGAAAUUUCACGAAACCUUUUCAGAUAAUAAGGACAUACUAUGUAGUUGUGCAUAUCGACGGGAAAUUGCGAUUCAAUUUUUUUUUCUAGGAGUUACGCCCCUUUGAACUUAUUUACUUUAAUGUACUACUGCAACAGUUUGUCAUCGCAACUCCUCUCAAACCACACAACAGAAUUUCAUGAAACUUUGUAGAUAAUGAGGACAUACUAUGUAUAUUGACAGGAAAUUAUUAUUCAAUAUUUUUUCUUAUACAAUUUUUUUUUCUUAUACUUAAUUAAUUUCUCCAAUGACAAUGUGGGGACGUGGGGUAUGUGAGCGUGCUCACUAAGGUUCUUUAAUUGUUCAU
rnacentral:lncRNA from 1 species